UACGUAGGGGGCUAGCGUUGUCCGGAAUCAUUGGGCGUAAAGCGCGCGUAGGCGGCCAGAUAAGUCCGGUGUGAAAGUCACAGGCUCAACCUGUGAAUGCCGCUGGAAACUGUCUGGCUAGAGUCCGGAAGGGGCGAGUGGAAUUCCUGGUGUAGCGGUGAAAUGCGCAGAUAUCAGGAAGAACACCCGUGGCGAAGGCGGCUCUCUGGAACGCAACUGACGCUGAGACGCGAAAGCGUGGGGAGCAAACAGG
rnacentral:rRNA from 1 species